UGUACAGACUGCUACCAUGCCGGCUGGCUAGGUCACUCUCCACAACGAUCAAAAUUGAGAAGGAGACAGCUAAACACUGAACUGAACUCCUGGUACCCAGUUGCAGAGAGUGAGGUGUGAUGAGCAAAGGGGAUACAACCUGGAUAUUGAAACCACAGAAACAGAUGACCAGAAAAAGGGGGAGCUCAUGGACCCCAAACUGAUGGCUGAGAGUCCAGCAUGGGACUGAUACAGAACCCCAUGAAUGUGAAUGUCAGUAAGGAAGCCUCAGCAAUCGAUGGGACCUCAGGUAAUGAUACAAGACUUCAAAACUGAGACAGGGACACGGUAUCUUAAACUAGAAGCAGUGUCAUCAGAAGCAGAUUGCUAUUUCCUGCACAGGAUUCAGCAUCAGUGACUGGAAGCUGCCCUGAAGCAAAAAAUCCCUGCCUUUGCUGUUUCCCACAGGCCCUGACUCUUACAGAUGUCAGGAGCAGUCUUCCUUGUCUGUGUAGAGUAAAGUCGGUUCUGAUCCUACCCAGAAUCUACUGAAUCCUGAAGUAUGGCCAGAGCCUGACUGCUAAGAAGCAUCACUUUUGUUGCUUUUGUUAGCACACCUUGCCUCUGAUUGAAGAACUGUGUGCAUUCAAAUGGAACAUGGAAUGGGAAUGAAUAUGUAAAGUGAUCUCAACUCCAGCACUGGAGGCAGAUACUGUGGUUCCCCAGGAGACUGCAUCAGAGCUUCUGAUUCCUUUGUCUCUCCCACCUUAAAGUGUGCUGCAGGAGAAGCAGUGAAAGUGAAAGUAGAUGAAAGAUAAAAAGUGAAAUAUACCAUGGUUUCUGACACCAAUUUUCAAAAGGAAAGAAAGAAACCUGUGGCAAGAAACAGUUGAUCAUAUAUCUGUCUGCUUCACCAAGCAUUUUUGAUAACUCUAUGAAAGCUACAUUUCUCCCUGGAGAUAGUGGAUUGUGUCUCAAGCUGGACAAUAGCUUCUUGUUUCUGACACUUUUUAAUAUGCCAUGUCAGAUUGCCCAAAUGCAAUUUAAAAUUCUUGAAUUUUAGUUUUCUCCUUUAUAUGUAUAUGUAUAUGUAUAUGUGUGCCUGAAAUAACAUGUUUCUAUUUAAGUUGAAAUAUUAGUUUUAAGAAGUACUUUGAAAUUCCUGUAUUUGAUUACUAUAUCUUAACA